rnacentral:lncRNA from 1 species
GGAGGGUAUAGGGAACUUUCGGGAUAGCAUUUGAAAUGUAUAUAAAGAAAAUAUCUAAUAAAAAAUUAAAAUUAAAAAACCCCACAGAAUCAACUAAAAAAAAAAGAAAUCAUAUUUCAUAAUUGCUAUUGUAGGAGAUAAACCAUAUUUAGGCCAUAGCAGACAUAAUCUAGGCUUUGGCAAUUAACAAGUUCUCUGGUGCUUUAAAUAAGAACUAUAAUUUCUGCUCUUUUAUUGUCUUGAAUUGAAGUGAAUGGCUACCUGAUCUCUGUUCCCAGAUAUCUCCUCAGACAGUUGAAGCUUCAUGGAACCUUUUUAUUUAGAACCGAACAAAGCCUUUUAGGUAGUGUAUCCUCAGAGGCAAAAGUGCUGCUUAGCAUUUUCAGUGAAGAAGCCAGAAGAGAAAGAACCCUAAAGUCACAUACUCUGAUUUAGUUGAGUUAGUAUUCAAGAGUUUAUAACAGCCGGGCGUGGUGGCACACACCUUUGAUCCCAGCACUCGGGAGGCAGAGGCAGGCGGAUUUCUGAGUUCGAGGCCAGCCUGGUCUACAAAGUGAGUUCCGGGACAGCCAGGGCUGCACAGAGAAACCCUGUCUCAAAUCCCCCUACCCCCCAAAAAAAGAAAGUUUUGAAAGGAUUUUAUUAUUGUCCUCAAGAUUUGUCAGAAGAGGUAUAUUAUAUUAGUGCCUUUGCCUCUUUCCCAUGUUGGCACUGCUGUGUCCCACUUUUACAUGGGAGCUAUCUAGAUUCAGAUUCUCAUACUCACAUAGUAGGCACUUUACUCGCUGAACCAUCUCUUUAGCUCUCUCUCUUUUUCCUAUGUAUAGCUGGGUAGUUUUAUAUUUUUUCAGAUUUCAGCUUAAUAUUUUAUUGUAUUACAAAAGGCUUUUCUGACUUCAUUACAUUUCCACCAUAGACAACUUAGACUAAGUUGGGUUUUCUAGAAUAUAUCUUUAAUAGGUCCUUUUUUGUUGUUGUUUUUGAGACAGGGUUUUUCUGUUUAGCCCUGGCUGUUUUGGAACUUGUUUUAUAGACCAGGCUGGUCUCUCUUUUCUUUAUGGCAAGAUCUCCCUAGCUGUCCUGGGACUCAUUAUAUAGACCAAGCUGACCUCAAACUCAUCCCUCAUAUUUCUUUUUCUUUUUUCUUUUUAAAUUUUUAUUAGAUAUUUUCUUUAUAUACAUUUCAAAUUUCAAAUGCUAUCCUGAAAGUUCCCUAUACCUUCCCUCCGCCCUGCUCCCCUACUCAUAUUUCUUAAGUCACAUGCCAGAAGAGGAUUAUACUGUAUAAUAAAUUAUACUGUAUAGUUAUACUAUAUAAUAAAUUAUACUGUAUAAUGUGGCCAGCAAUAACAGAACUUACAUUUUGGAUGCCUUAAGCAGCAAAAUUAGAUCAUGGUUUUGGAGACUAGCAGUAUAAGAUUAAAGCGCCAUCAGGGAGGGCUUCUAGUAAUGCCUCUUUCUGACACCAUAUUCUCACUAACCUUUUAAAAGUAUAGAUGCUGUGAGAUGGAAUGGGAGAUCUUUUUCCUUUCUUGCAUGAUUAGAUUUUAAGUCAAUAUGCUAGAAAGAUAAUUCAGCAAUUAAAAGCACUUAAUGGUUUCUAGCACUCUGAGGGCAGCUCAUAGCCACCUAUAACUCCAGUUUCAGAGGAUCCAGCAUCAUUUUUGGGACUUUAAUGGUUCUAUGGAACUCCAGGGAUAUGACACGCAUAAAUACAUGCAGACACUUUCAUAUAAAGAUAAAUAAAUCUUUCUUCAUUAAAUGAAAAGUACUAUGUGUAAGGGAGUUGCCUGCAUGGUCUAUCUGUAGCACUUGUGUGCCUGACACCAGUGAUGGUGUUAAGAGUAUCUAGAAUUGGAGUUAUAGAUGGUUGUGAGCUGCCGUGUGAAUAUUGAAAAUUAAGUUGGAUCCUCUGAUAGUGUGAUUAGUGGUGUUUUAAAUAUAGAUACUGAAAACAGUUUUUUUUCAUACAAUAUAUUUUGAUCACGGCUCCCCUUCCCCAACUCUUCCCAGAUCUUACCCACCAACCCAUACUUAUAACUUUUUUUUCUCUUACUAGAAAACAAACAGGCAUCUAAAUAAAUAAAUAAAUAAUAAAAAUAAAAGCAAGCCAGAACAGGACAAAGCAAACAAACAAAAAGUCCC